CAUAUCAUUUUACUGAUAGAAUCUAAGUGCAAAAAGCACAUAGAUGACGAACGAGAGAGAGAAAAAUGAUUCUAUGUGCAUCUAAUGAGAAUUAAAAGUUACUAUGUUAAAUUUGAUUUGUCUUAUAAUAAAUUUAGAGUGCAACAACUUAAUAAGCAACCCUGUCAACUUAAAAUCCAAACACAAGCAUAACAAACGCGAAACGAGCAUGGCGCGCGCAGAAGACCCACGUUUUGCUCCGAAAAAAGAUCUCUUUCAACAUCAAGGUGCUCAGGAAAUUUGCCGAUCGUGCUGCUUCUUGUUUUUGAAGAAUUGCGUCGAGAAUUGCACAUCGACCGCUUCUCCAUGUGACGGUGCACCGUCACCCAUCAGGCCGAAAUCGUAAACGAUUUGGAAGCUACGGGUUGGACGGGCGAUUGAGACGUACUUUUUGACCGGUAGCCAGCGGGAACUCAUCGUGGCAUCUGCGGAUCUCACUGGUCCAUCAUCUUCGUUGGCCGUGGUGUCGUCGGUGGAUCGGCAGAUUAAGUGCGCAAUGGCUUAUAAUUAAAACAUAUUUUGUAACAAUCGUCAA